rnacentral:rRNA from 1 species
AUCCUGGGCUCAGGGACGAACGCUGUAGGUGUGCUUUAGACAUGCAAGUCGAACGAGAAAGCCCUUCGGGGUGAGUACAGUGGCGAACGGGUGAGUAACACGUGGGCAAUCUGCCCCUCGCAGGGGGACAACCGGGGGAAACCCCGGCUAAUACCCCGUACGCUUGUUGAGUCGCAUGGCUCUACAAGGAAAGGUAGCUUCGGCCAUCCGGCGAGGGAUGAGCCCGCGGUGCAUUAGCUAGUUGGUGAGGUAACGGCUUACCAAGGCGACGAUGCAUAGCUGGUCUGAGAGGAUGAUCAGCCACACUGGGACUGAGACACGGCCCAGACUCCUACGGGAGGCAGCAGUCGGGAAUCUUGCGCAAUGGGCGAAAGCCUGACGCAGCAAUACCGUGUGAGCGACGAAGGCCUUCGGGUCGUAAAGCUCUGUUGUUGGGGACGAAGGGUUAGGGGUUAAUAGCCCCGAGCCUGACGGUACCCUUCGAGGAAGCCCCGGCUAACUACGUGCCAGCAGCCGCGGUAAUACGUAGGGGGCGAGCGUUGUCCGGAAUUAUUGGGCGUAAAGAGCGUGUAGGCGGUUCGGUAAGUCUGCCGUGAAAACCCAGGGCUCAACCCUGGGCGUGCGGUGGAUGCUGCCGGGCUAGAGGGUGGUAGAGGCGAGUGGAAUUCCCGGUGUAGCGGUGAAAUGCGCAGAUAUCGGGAGGAACACCGGUGGCGAAGGCGGUUCUCUGGGCCUGUACUGACGCUGAGGAGCGAAAGCGUGGGGAGCGAACAGGAUUAGAUACCCUGGUAGUCCACGCCGUAAACGUUGGGCGCUAGGUGUGGGGCUCUUCCACGGGUUCCGCGCCGUAGCUAACGCAUUAAGCGCCCCGCCUGGGGAGUACGGCCGCAAGGCUAAACUCAAAGGAAUUGACGGGGGCCCGCACAAGCGGCGGAGCAUGUUGCUUAAUUCGACGCAACGCGAAGAACCUUACCAAGAUUUGACAUUUCAACCCGAAAACUCGUGGAGACACAGGGGUCCCUUUGGGGCGGGUGACAGGGUGGUGCAUGGCUGUCGUCAGCUCGUGUCGUGAGAUGUUGGGUUAAGUCCCGCAACGGAGCGCAACCCUCGUUCCAUGUUGCCAGCACGCCCUUCGGGGUGGUGGGGACUCAUGGGAGACCGCCGGGGUCAACUCGGAGGAAGGUGGGGAUGACGUCAAGUCAUCAUGCCCCUUAUGUCUUGGGCUGCAAACAUGCUACAAUGGCCGGUACAGAGGGCUGCGAUACCGUGAGGUGGAGCGAAUCCCUAAAAGCCGGUCUCAGUUCGGAUUGGGGUCUGCAACUCGACCCCAUGAAGUCGGAGUCGCUAGUAAUCGCAGAUCAGCAACGCUGCGGUGAUACGUUCCCGGGCAUGUACACAC